GCCCCUGUGGUGAAAUUGGUAUACACAUCCGAUUACCAAUCGGACUUGCUGGUCAGCAAUUGCGGGUUCGAAUCCCGCCAGGGGCA
rnacentral:tRNA from 1 species